rnacentral:rRNA from 1 species
AACGAACGCUGGCGGCAGGCUUAACACAUGCAAGUCGAGCGCCCCGCAAGGGGAGCGGCAGACGGGUGAGUAACGCGUGGGAACGUACCUUUUGCUACGGAAUAACUCAGGGAAACUUGUGCUAAUACCGUAUGUGCCCUUCGGGGGAAAGAUUUAUCGGCAAAGGAUCGGCCCGCGUUGGAUUAGCUAGUUGGUGAGGUAAAGGCUCACCAAGGCGACGAUCCAUAGCUGGUCUGAGAGGAUGAUCAGCCACACUGGGACUGAGACACGGCCCAGACUCCUACGGGAGGCAGCAGUAGGGAAUAUUGGACAAUGGGCGCAAGCCUGAUCCAGCCAUGCCGCGUGAGUGAUGAAGGCCCUAGGGUUGUAAAGCUCUUUCACCGGUGAAGAUAAUGACGGUAACCGGAGAAGAAGCCCCGGCUAACUUCGUGCCAGCAGCCGCGGUAAUACGAAGGGGGCUAGCGUUGUUCGGAUUUACUGGGCGUAAAGCGCACGUAGGCGGACUUUUAAGUCAGGGGUGAAAUCCCGGGGCUCAACCCCGGAACUGCCUUUGAUACUGGAAGUCUUGAGUAUGGUAGAGGUGAGUGGAAUUCCGAGUGUAGAGGUGAAAUUCGUAGAUAUUCGGAGGAACACCAGUGGCGAAGGCGGCUCACUGGACCAUUACUGACGCUGAGGUGCGAAAGCGUGGGGAGCAAACAG